rnacentral:rRNA from 1 species
CCCUUAGAUGUUCUGGGCCCCACGCGCGCUACACUGAUGCAUUCAACGAGCCUAUCCUUGACCGACAGGUCCGGGUAAUCUUUGAAUCUGCAUCGUGACGGGGAUAGAUUAUUGCAAUUAUUAAUCUUCAACGAGGAAUGCCUAGUAGGCGCAAGUCAUCAGCUUGCGUCGAUUACGUCCCUGCCCUUUGUACACACCGCCCGUCGCUCCUACCGAUUGGGUGUGCUGGUGAAAUGUUCGGAUCGGCCGUUUGUCGCGGUUUCCGCGUCAUGUGGCUGAGAAGUUCAUUAAACCCUCCCACCUAGAGGAAGGAGAAGUCGUAACA